AGUGAACGCUGGCGGUAGGCCUAACACAUGCAAGUCGAACGGCAGCACAGUAAGAGCUUGCUCUUACGGGUGGCGAGUGGCGGACGGGUGAGGAAUACAUCGGAAUCUACUUUUUCGUGGGGGAUAACGUAGGGAAACUUACGCUAAUACCGCAUACGACCUACGGGUGAAAGCAGGGGAUCUUCGGACCUUGCGCGAUUGAAUGAGCCGAUGUCGGAUUAGCUAGUUGGCGGGGUAAAGGCCCACCAAGGCGACGAUCCGUAGCUGGUCUGAGAGGAUGAUCAGCCACACUGGAACUGAGACACGGUCCAGACUCCUACGGGAGGCAGCAGUGGGGAAUAUUGGACAAUGGGCGCAAGCCUGAUCCAGCCAUACCGCGUGGGUGAAGAAGGCCUUCGGGUUGUAAAGCCCUUUUGUUGGGAAAGAAAAGCAGCAGGUUAAUACCCCGCUGUUCUGACGGUACCCAGAAUAAGCACCGGCUAACUGCG
rnacentral:rRNA from 1 species